CUGCGGAAGGAUCAUUGUCGAAACCUGCCCAGCAGAUAGACCGGUGAACCUGUUCCAACAACUUUGGGGGCCAGGGUUGCCACCACGGCGCUCUGGACCCCCCAUGCCGGGUUCGUGUGGCUUUGUCUCGCGAGCUCGGUUUCGAACAAACCCCGGCGCGGAAUGCGUCAAGGAAGAAUAACGUAACGAGCCGUGCCGUCGUGGCCCCGGGAUCGGUGCAUGCGACGACGGUCGCCUCGUGAAUGGUUAUAUCCAGAACGACUCUCGGCAACGGAUAUCUCGGCUCUCGCAUCGAUGAAGAACGUAGCGAAAUGCGAUACUUGGUGUGAAUUGCAGAAUCCCGUGAACCAUCGAGUCUUUGAACGCAAGUUGCGCCCGAAGCCAUCAGGCCGAGGGCACGUCUGCCUGGGCGUCUCGCACUGCCGCCCCCCACCCCUCGUCAACCAUGGAUGGAUGUGAGGGGAAGCCGGGGGCGUAAGGUGGCCUCCCGUGUGCUAAUGUCUCGCGGUUGGCCAAAAACCAAAGUCCACAGUCACGUCGUCGUGGAAACAGGUGGUUGUCGUUCCCUCGGUGCCCCCCGCCACGCACGAUGUGCACUCUCAGAGACUUAGACCGAACCCCAAGCACCCUACGGGUGCUUCGACCGCGACCCCAGGUCAGGCGG
rnacentral:rRNA from 1 species